rnacentral:tRNA from 1 species
GCACAGAUAGUGUAACGGUAACAUCGCGGUCUCCAAAAUCGCUGUUCUAGGUUCAAAUCCUAGUCUGUGCG